GACGAACGCUGGCGGCGUGCUUAACACAUGCAAGUCGAACGGAAAGGCCCUGCUUUUGUGGGGUGCUCGAGUGGCGAACGGGUGAGUAACACGUGAGUAACCUGCCCUUGACUUUGGGAUAACUUCAGGAAACUGGGGCUAAUACCGGAUAGGAGCUCCUGCUGCAUGGUGGGGGUUGGAAAGUUUCGGCGGUUGGGGCUGGACUCGCGGCUUAUCCGCUUGUUGGUGGGGUAGUGGCUUACCAAGGCUUUGACGGGUAGCCGGCCUGAGAGGGUGACCGGCCACAUUGCGACUGAGGUACGGACCAGACUCCUACGGGAGGCAGCAGUGGGGAAUAUUGCGCAAUGGGCGGAAGCCUGAUGCAGCAGCGCCGCGUGCGGGAUGACGGCCUUCGGGUUGUAAACCGCUUUCGCCUGUGACGAAGCGUGAGUGACGGUAAUGGGUAAAGAAGCACCGGCUAACUACGUG
rnacentral:rRNA from 1 species